rnacentral:tRNA from 2 species
GGAGAGGUGGCAGAGCGGUUGAAUGUACCUGAUUCGAAAUCAGGCGUACGUUAAUAGCGUACCGGGGGUUCGAAUCCCCCCCUCUCCGCCA